rnacentral:rRNA from 1 species
UAGAGUUUGAUCCUGGCUCAGGAUGAACGCUAGCGACAGGCUUAACACAUGCAAGUCGAGGGGCAGCGGGGAGGUAGCAAUACUUCCGCCGGCGACCGGCGCACGGGUGAGUAACACGUAUGGAACCUGCCCGUAGCAGGGGGAUAAACGGAAGAAAUUCCGUCUAAUACCGCGUAAUAACUCCGAGAGGCAUCUCAUGGAGUUUAAAGGGUAACACCGGCUACGGAUGGCCAUGCGGCGCAUUAGCUAGUUGGCGGGGUAACGGCCCACCAAGGCGACGAUGCGUAGGGGUUCUGAGAGGAAGGUCCCCCACACUGGUACUGAGACACGGACCAGACUCCUACGGGAGGCAGCAGUGAGGAAUAUUGGUCAAUGGGCGCGAGCCUGAACCAGCCAAGUCGCGUGAGGGAAGACGGUCCUAUGGAUUGUAAACCUCUUUUGUCGGGGAGCAAAAGACGCCACGUGUGGCGUUCCGAGAGUACCCGAAGAAAAAGCAUCGGCUAACUCCGUGCCAGCAGCCGCGGUAAUACGGAGGAUGCGAGCGUUAUCCGGAUUUAUUGGGUUUAAAGGGUGCGCAGGCGGAAGAUCAAGUCAGCGGUAAAAUUGAGAGGCUCAACCUCUUCGAGCCGUUGAAACUGGUUUUCUUGAGUGAGCGAGAAGUAUGCGGAAUGCGUGGUGUAGCGGUGAAAUGCAUAGAUAUCACGCAGAACUCCGAUUGCGAAGGCAGCAUACCGGCGCUCAACUGACGCUCAUGCACGAAAGUGUGGGUAUCGAACAGGAUUAGAUACCCUGGUAGUCCACACAGUAAACGAUGAAUACUAAUUGUUCGGGGAGAAUGAUCCCUGAGUGAUACAGCGAAAGCGUUAAGUAUUCCACCUGGGGAGUACGCCGGCAACGGUGAAACUCAAAGGAAUUGACGGGGGCCCGCACAAGCGGAGGAACAUGUGGUUUAAUUCGAUGAUACGCGAGGAACCUUACCCGGGCUCAAACGACACAGGAAUACUUUUGAAAGGAGGUAGCUCUACGGAGUCUGUGUCGAGGUGCUGCAUGGUUGUCGUCAGCUCGUGCCGUGAGGUGUCGGCUUAAGUGCCAUAACGAGCGCAACCCCCAUCGCCAGUUACCAGCAAGUCAAGUUGGGGACUCUGGCGAGACUGCCGGCGCAAGCUGUGAGGAAGGCGGGGAUGACGUCAAAUCAGCACGGCCCUUACGUCCGGGGCGACACACGUGUUACAAUGGCAGGUACAGAGAGAAGCAAUGCGGCGACGCAAAGCGGAACUUGAAAGCCUGUCUCAGUUCGGAUUGGAGUCUGCAACUCGACUCCAUGAAGCUGGAUUCGCUAGUAAUCGCGCAUCAGCCAUGGCGCGGUGAAUACGUUCCCGGGCCUUGUACACACCGCCCGUCAAGCCAUGGAAGCCGGGGGUGCCUGAAGUGCGUGACCGCAAGGAGCGCCCUAGGGUAAAACCGGUGACUGGGGCUAAGUCGUAAUCAAGGUAACCGUA